CGUAACUAUAACGGUCCUAAGGUAGCGAAAUUCCUUGUCGGGUAAGUUCCGACCCGCACGAAAGGCGUAACGAUUUGGGCACUGUCUCAACGAGAGACUCGGUGAAAUCAUAGUACCGGUGAAGAUGCCGGUUACCCGCGACAGGACGGAAAGACCCCGUGGAGCUUUACUGUAGCCUGAUAUUGAAAUUCGGUACAGUUUGUACAGGAUAGGUAGGAGCCUUAGAAGCGUGAGCGCUAGCUUACGUGGAGGCAUUGGUGGGAUACUACCCUAAUUGUAUUGGAUUUCUAACCCGCAGCACUUAUCGUGCUGGGAGACAGUGUCAGGCGGGCAGUUUGACUGGGGCGGUCGCCUCCUAAAGAGUAACGGAGGCGCUCAAAGGUUCCCUCAGAAUGGUUGGAAAUCAUUCAUAGAGUGUAAAGGCAUAAGGGAGCUUGACUGCGAGACCUACAAGUCGAGCAGGGUCGAAAGACGGACUUAGUGAUCCGGUGGUUCCGCAUGGAAGGGCCAUCGCUCAACGGAUAAAAGCUACCCCGGGGAUAACAGGCUUAUCUCCCCCAAGAGUUCACAUCGACGGGGAGGUUUGGCACCUCGAUGUCGGCUCAUCGCAUCCUGGGGCUGUAGUCGGUCCCAAGGGUUGGGCUGUUCGCCCAUUAAAGCGGUACGCGAGCUGGGUUCAGAACGUCGUGAGACAGUUCGGUCCCUAUCCGUCGUGGGCGUAGGAAAUUUGAGAGGAGCUGUCCUUAGUACGAGAGGACCGGGAUGGACAUACCUCUGGUGUACCAGUUGUCGUGCCAACGGCAUAGCUGGGUAGCUAUGUAUGGACGGGAUAAGUGCUGAAAGCAUCUAAGCAUGAAGCCCCCCUCGAGAUGAGAUUUCCCAACUUCGGUUAUAAGAUCCCUCAAAGAUGAUGAGGUAAAUAGGUUCGAGGUGGAAGCGUAGCGAUACGUGGAGCUGACGAAUACUAAUCGAUCGAAGACUUAAUCAA
rnacentral:rRNA from 1 species